GGGGCAUAAAGCAAGAGACAUGCACUUGGGGAACAAGCUGGAGGAGCGCUCCUUGCCCUUGGGCUGCAAAGGAUUUUGUGGAGAGCAAAGGAGAUUUAGGAACAGGAGUAGGAGGGGAGCAAGCGUAGCCAAGCACAGCUAGUAUUUUGCCACACACAGGUAUAGAUUGUACAUAACCAGCUUUUAUAGGGCCCCCUGUGUCUCUAUUAACUGGAGUGUGUGCCAGGUCUCUUGAGUUAUAUUUUAGAAAGACAGGGUAAGGGUAUGAUGGCGUCCAUAUGUAUGUAUGUAACAGACAGGGAAUGGACAGAAAACAGAUGGAAAACUCAAAAAGGAACAUGACGGCCGUUAUUCAGGUCGUGCAUGAGGGAUCUGGAAGAAGAAGGAGAAGACCUCACGUUCCUGGGCCUUACAGGCUGCUAUGGCUGGUCAAACGGAACCAAGUCCGUCUUCCUUAGAGGUUUGGUCCCCUUCAACCAGCUAUUGCAGUACUGAACCUCAAUAGCCCCCAGCCAAGAUUCUACUGCUGAGCAAGCAAAGGAGUUUCCGCAUGGGAGGAGCAAUAGCUCCAUGUUGUAGCCCUACCCUGGAGGGACAUGUAUUUAUCUUUUUUUGAUGUUUCUACCCAGUCUUGUAGCCAGGGCCCCUGAAUGGGAUUUUUGUCUGUUUUUAAAUCUUCCUAAGGGGUGUCAAUCUCCUGGCCUCUGAUCUGCUCUGAACUACAGUUCCCAGAAUUCCUCAGCUCCUGGCUAAAAGUGUUGGUGAAAUGCUGAAAUAUAUGUCUGUAAAUAUACAGUUCCAAACAGCUGCAGGACAAGAGUGUGGCACCCCCUCUCCCAUUAUAUGCUGUUGCUUUCUCAUCCCUCCCCCCUUUUCCUUUCUGGUAUUUAAAACAGCACAAGCAUUUACCAUUAAAGUCAAUGGAGGGACAAUUCCAUUCCAACACUAGGAAUUGCCCCAUGCCCAGUGCUUUAAUAACUAAUUCUUAUGGAACUUCCCUUUCAAUCAAAAGCAAAGUUGCACCGUUUUAUUAUUUGCUUCUGAACUACAAUGCCUGGCAUUUGCAGGCUGGGGAUUCUGGGAGUUGUAGUUCCCAACAGUAGGUCAAUAAAGAAAAACAAGUGUGACAUUAGUUAUUGAUGCAUUAAAGUGCCGCUCCUUCAAAUUGAACUGCUCUUGCACAAUAAUGGUAUUUGCACGAUUUUACCCACAAUUCCAAAGUGUGAAUUCUGAUUGAUUUUGGGUGCUGAUGCCGGGUUUAUUCCAGUGGGGAUGGUAUGGAUACAUGUCCAAGAUGAGUGCUCGUUCAUAAAAUAAACAAAACAAAAUGC